UACGUAGGUCCCGAGCGUUGUCCGGAUUUAUUGGGCGUAAAGCGAGCGCAGGUGGUUUAUUAAGUCUGGUGUAAAAGGCAGUGGCUCAACCAUUGUAUGCUUUGGAAACUGUAAAACUGGAGUGCAGGAGAGGUAAGCGGAAUUCCUAGUGUAGCGGUGAAAUGCGUAGAUAUUAGGAGGAACACCAGUGGCGAAGGCGGCUUACUGGACUGUAACUGACGUUGAGGCUCGAAGGCGUGGGGAGCAAACAGG
rnacentral:rRNA from 1 species